AACGUAGGAGACAAACGUUAUCCGGAGUUACUGGGCGUAAAGGGCGUGCAGGUGGUCUGUUAAGUCUGGCGUGAAAGCUCCUGGCUAAACCGGGAGAGGUCGUUGGAUACUGGCGGACUAGAGGACGGUAGAGGCGUGUGGAAUUCCGGGUGUAGUGGUGAAAUGCGUAGAGAUCCGGAGGAACACCAGUGGCGAAGGCGACACGCUGGGCCGUACCUGACACUGAUACGCGACAGCAUGGG
rnacentral:rRNA from 1 species